UACGGAGGGUGCAAACGUUGCUCGGAAUCAUUGGGCGUAAAGCGCGUGUAGGCGGCCAGGUAAGUCCGUUCUGAAAGCCCGGGGCUCAACCCCGGGAGGCGGAUGGAUACUGCUUGGCUCGAGUCCGGAAGAGGCGAGUGGAAUUCCCGGUGUAGCGGUGAAAUGCGCAGAUAUCGGGAGGAACACCAAUGGCGAAGGCAGCUCGCUGGGACGGUACUGACGCUGAGACGCGAAAGCGUGGGGAGCAAACAGG
rnacentral:rRNA from 1 species